rnacentral:rRNA from 1 species
UACGGAGGGUGCGAGCGUUGUCCGGAAUCACUGGGCGUAAAGGGCGCGUAGGCGGCCCGUCAAGCGUGUGGUGAAAGCCCGGGGCUCAACCCCGGGUCGGCCGUGCGGACUGGCGGGCUCGAGCACUGUAGGGGCGGGUGGAAUUCCUGGUGUAGCGGUGAAAUGCGCAGAUAUCAGGAGGAACACCGGUGGCGAAGGCGGGUCUCUGGGCCGAUACUGACGUGAGGAGCGAAAAGCGUGGGGGAGCGAACAGG